AUACGUAGGUGACAAGCGUUAUCCGGAUUUACUGGGCGUAAAGGGCGUGUAGGCGGUCUUGCAAGUCAGAAGUGAAAUUCCUGAGCUCAACUCGGGCGCUGCUUCUGAAACUGCAGGACUUGAGUGCUGGAGGGGAUAGCGGAAUUCCUAGUGGAGCGGUAAAAUGCGCAGAUAUUAGGAAGAACACCGGUGGCGAAGGCGGCUAUCUGGACAGUAACUGACGCUGAGGCGCGAAAGCGUGGGGAGCAAACAGGAUUAGAUACCCUGGUAGUCCGCGCUGUAAACGAUGAAUACUAGGUGUAGGGGGUAUCGACUCCCUCUGUGCCGCAGUUAACACAAUAAGUAUUCCGCCUGGGGAGUACGGCCGCAAGGUUGAAACUCAAAUGAAUUGACGGGG
rnacentral:rRNA from 1 species